rnacentral:misc_RNA from 1 species
AAUGUCUGCCAAUGUUUUGACC